CAUUUCUAGCGUUUUCUGUUUCACAAGAUUCUCACUAGUUCUCCGUUUCUUGAAUCUUCCUCCUUCAAGCCGAUCAAAGGGAUGAGUGGUUCACAAUCACAAGGCAGUGCGUGUUCCUUGAACCAGCCAAGCAAAGAUGUGGCUGUGACUGAGACAAAACCAAAGAAGAAGAUAUGCUGUGCUUGCCCUGAUAUUAAGAAGCUAAGAGAUGAGUGCAUUGUAGAACACGGUGAAUCAGCUUGCACUAAAUGGAUCGAAGCUCAUCUUAUCUGUCUUCGAUCCGAGGGUUUUAAAGUUUGAGAAUGUUAAAAUACGAAUUUCAUGGAGUAAAAAUCCAAAUGAAGUGAUUAGUGACAUAGAUUGUUGAUUUUUUUCAUGUUUUUUGAAAUUUACACAACACAACACUGUUGUCAACAACCGUCAUGUAAAAACAGAGCAAACCAAAAAGGUUAUAAUUGACAAAAACUCUAUAUA